GAUUUCAACUGAAAAAGUCAUCAACAACAAAGUUGUAUAACUCAUCAAGAUCUAUAACUUUUAUUUUGAUCAUUUCUUCAUCCGAUAAAGUGAUAGUAACAUUGUUCAUAAAAUUUAUAUAUAUCUCAUUUGGUUUUAUAAACUAUAAGAGAGAUGUAAAUUUUAUGAACAAUGUUACUAUCACUUUGUCAGAUAAAGAAAAUGACCAAAAUAAAAAUUGUAUGUCUUGAUGAGUUCUACAACUUUUAUGUUCAUGACUUUUUCAACUAAAUUU
rnacentral:pre_miRNA from 1 species